GUGAGGAAUAUUGGUCAAUGGGCGCAAGCCUGAACCAGCCAUGCCGCGUGCAGGAAGACGGUCCUAUGGAUUGUAAACUGCUUUUAUUUGGGAAUAAACUCCGGUACGUGUACCGGCCUGAAGGUACCAAAUGAAUAAGCACCGGCUAACUCCGUGCCAGCAGCCGCGGUAAUACGGAGGGUGCAAGCGUUAUCCGGAAUCAUUGGGUUUAAAUGGUCCGCAGGCGGUCUUAUAAGUCAGUGGUGAAAGCCUACAGCUCAACUGUAGAACUGCCAUUGAUACUGUAGGACUUGAAUUCGAUCGAAGUGGGCGGAAUGUGACAUGUAGCGGUGAAAUGCUUAGAUAUGUCACAGAACACCGAUAGCGAAGGCAGCUCACUAGGUCUGGAUUGACGCUCAGGGACGAAAGCGUGGGGAGCAAACAGGAUUAGAUACCCGUGUAGUCC
rnacentral:rRNA from 1 species